UUUGAAAACUAGUUAAUAGGGUCUAAAAGCUUGUUUUGGGUGUGUUUUUUUUAUUAUUGUGUAUGCAAUGUUAAGAAUCAUAAAUGGUCAAUGGAAACACGACAUAGAGCUAAGGGAUUGUUUAGCAACUUAUGUAGCUAGAAGGCUUUGACGACAUGAAAUAAUUGACUUUGUUCAAGAUAAAUUUAGCGAAUACUCCUGGAGUCUGCGAUCUCUAUUUUUGGUAUUAAAUAUACAGACUAUACUAUUGAUAUAGGGAGAUCUCUAAGGACCUGGGCGCCUUUUAGGUUAUAGGGCAAUGCACCAAAAUGUACGAGAGAUCCAUCUCCUAAAUGUCCCCAGAGACCUGAUGUAUGCAGUUAUGCAAGAAUUGGAUGCUAGUGGAUUAGAAGAAAGAGGUGGUGUUGGAAAACCGAAACGUCCAAGGAGGGAAAGGAAUUUUUAUUCAGAAGGGCCAGACUAUACACUGUCAUUAGAUGGCCAUGAUAAAUUAUGCGGCUACCCGAAAUCCACUUUUCCCUUGUGUGUUUAUGGUUGUCAAGACACCUAUAGUGGGAGAAUUCAGUUCCUUAAAGUAUCUACAAGCAACAAUGAUCCAAAGAUAAUAGGAACAUUCUAUCUCGAAUAUUUAUAUGAAACUAGAAGACAGAGGUACAGAAACAGGAGAUAUGACCACAAUGCAUUGUUAUCUAAUUGACAAGUAUCUUGCAGUUGAGGAUGCAACAGAUUUCGUCCUAUAUGGUCCUUCCACUGGGAAUAAAAUUGAACGAUUUACGAGAGACUUACAUUACAGACUGGAGAUUUACUUUAAAAAACAGAUUUCUGGUCUUUUAGAAAAUGGAGAUUAUAAUCCAUCAAAUGAAAAAGAUAGGUAAGAUAAUUACUAUUAUUACUGGAUAAGUUAUACCCAUCAGUGAUAUUUUAUGCUGAUAAACACAAUUCAAGUGGAAAAUGUAAGCUUUGGCCAUACAACAUUGAUUUGUGCUUUUUAUAUGCUCACUUGAAAUGUAUGGUGUAUUAUAUGACAAUAUUCGCUCGUUCACAAUUGAUGGCACAGGGUGCCUUUAAUGGUAUUAUCUGGGGGUCUCUAUCAUUUUUUUGUGUGAAUUUGAAACAAAUUGUUUGAAUAAUACCCCUUUAUUAGACGCAAAUUUACAUUAACUAAAUACAGUGGUUUUAUGGGUAGCCAAGGAGGGUCUCUGUUGUUUUUUACACAAUUCUGAACAACAUGUUCGAAUUUUUCCUAUUACUUGACACAAUUCUUGUGUGAAAGCUGCUGUGUGGGUGUAUUAACACGCUUUGCGUAGCUAUCUGGAUAUAAAUCAUUUCUUUGGCAAUACAGAUGACAAAUUAGGUCUAAAUUAGCAAAGUACUCUUGAUUUCAGUACCAUUAGGAUCACCAAUUAUUGUCAGGAAAAGGUCGGAAAUCCACUACUGACAUAAUAAACCUACAAAUUACUGAUGAAUUCUUUUGGGUUUUUUUUCAUGUAUACAUACCAAUAAUUCAAAAAGAGUUAGAUAUAUUUAGAGAAACUGUGUGGAACAAUCAUCGUUGCAGAAAAAAACAAUAAGAAAGAAUUACCGACAGGAAUACCAGAACAUUUGUAUUCUUAUCCGGAAAAAUAUGGUGGUGUGAAUUGUUCUUUAAAAGUCUCUGAAAACGAUUUAAAUGAGGUUGCUGAUUUGGCCAAUAUUUGUGAAGUAAAUUAUCUUACAGACGACUUCAGAGAUGAUGUAUGCGCCAUGUAGACCCAACUGAAAUUUGUUCUAAUAAUGCUGAUGUAGCCUAUUUAUUUAUUUUGAAGUCUAAUUUCAACCUUGCAGAUGUUGCUUCAAGUUGAAAGUUCAAUCUUUCUGUUUGUGAUAUGUGCAUCUUGAAGUGAUUUUCAUGGUGUUUAGCCAAAGGAACAGUUCAACCAGACAAUACAACCACAUAAACCCCAUACCCUUUCUUAGAGGAGUAAACACACUGAAAGUUAAUAGAUGUGUCAUCCUUGGUGUUUUAUCUAACCACGAUCAAUGUGUUCAGUAUAUCUCAUCAGACCAUUAUGUUAUUGCUUAAAGUUUUAGGUCAACUAAUAUAAGAAUAUGAGACAUAUAUUAUAACUAAAUAUGACACUACCAUUCUUUCCUAAAAUCUGUUAUCUUUAUUGACAAAUUGUUGUACUAAAAUCGCCAUAAAAAGCCAAGAAAUAUUUUUUUGUAAAUAAUCUGACUUGAUUUAUACAACUGUACAUCACUCUAUCAACAUUUGUUGAUAAUUGUCCUGUACAAUUUGAAGGCAAAAUCCUUUAAUUUCCAUGCUGCUUACUCAUACCCAACUAAAUCUUAGUUGAACAGCAUUACUUUUUUAGGUUUUUGUUUUUCGAUUGUUUACAUGUAUAUUGGGUUAUUUUUCUGGGCCUUAAAAAAACUGUAAUGCUGUUUUCCUGCAUUAUGAUUUUAAGGUUUAAAACUACAAGAUCCAGUGCUUGUGCUUUCAAAACAUGUAAAUAAUAUGACAUUCUACUGUAUUGAUAUUUUCGAUAUCGUGCAUAUGCUUUCCUUAUGACUAUUCAGAUUUAUUGUUAUAAUCAUGUUGAUGAGAUCUGUUAUUGUAUCAAAUGUAGCACUCUUUUAGGGUAUAUAUUCCUUUUAAGACAUGGUAAAGUGUAUUUUACAUGUAUGUCAUUAUGCAGAAAAUGUACAAAAGUGGUAUGACCAUGAUAAUUAUUUUGCCAAAUUGUAUUCCAAACACUUCUGAAAUACAUAAAGAUACAUAUUGAAAUUCUCAGGGAAACAUGAUGGGGUAGUCUCCAAACAGUUGAAAUUUGAAUACUAUUUUGGGACCUAUAUUUGAUUUGACUAUGCGAAAUGCAACCUAUUAUUCUAAUUUUAUACUCAUUAGCAGAUUAACGAUUUGGUUCAGCAGCCAUUUGCUGUCACAUCAUAUAUCCUUUAAAGUAGUUGGGUUCUGUAUGCUAACAAAAACUCUAAACUGCAAAUCUUUAUUAUUGCUAAUAAAGCUUUUUAAAACUUUGCUUUACAAUAACAAAUAUAAUAUUUAAUAAAACAAUAAUUAAUUAUUGAAAAACAAAAGCAGAUAUGUUUGAUUAAAGUACCAUUCGCACUAAGUAUCCCUAAAAUGUUGGUUCAUAAUACAUGUAUGAUCACUCUAUGAUUAUUGUCAGAAUAAAUUUUUAAAAAAUUUAAAAACAUCAAUGCACACAAGUGGUUUAUUUAUGUUGUUUUUCCUGAGCACCUGGUAGUUCAAAUGACGCAAUGUGAUGUCAUUCAAAUUAAAAGUACAACUGAGUCUUGAAUAUACCAUACACGAAUUGAUUUCAGGAAUAAAAAAUAUUGUUAUGGCAAAUAUUUAAAAAAUAUUGUCUUUGGAACACUUUUGUGUCAAUACUAAUAUUUAAAUAAAAAGAAGGUUAUUUUGAAAUAAUUUUGAUUUACUUUAUACAAGUCGGAAUGGCCCUUUACGCUCAUUUAAUGUUAUGGAAGUACAGAGAACUUCAGUAGGCACAUUUUCUGUUAAAAUGGUUAAUAUGCCAAUAAUAUUAAAAUAGUUUGUCUGGCAAUAAAUUUUAACUCAUACAUAGGCCAAUAACCCACAUUGAAAAAUCAGUUGGAUACUAGCUGAUUAAUCAAAUCAACCUAGGUGUGUUUUCUUGUCCCAAAUAUUUAUUAAUUGAAACAGGAACAAAUAUUUGAUAAAAAAAUUUACUAACAAUGUUUCUGGAAAAAGUAACAUAUACAUAUUUUACUAUGUAAUUAAUUUAGUUUUUUUUAAAAACUAAACUCAUAACCUCAAAUACUUGUAUUUUCUUAGUAUUUCACAGUACCAAAUAAAAUAUUGAAAGAUUCUUUUGAACCUUCUGCGUUAUGUCAACAUGAAUGUACUGCUAUUAUGUCCUAUUCAAACACAAAAUGUUCAGUAUUAAAAUAUUAAAAUGUUUAUUGUUUUUAUUUUACUUGUUUCCUUUUAAUCCUAACAUUGUACAGUAUGUAUUGCACAUGUGCUGUUUUAAAAAGUUUUCGAUGGCCAUUGAUAACAAAUUGCCCAUGCAGAAGAACGCCUCUCCAUCAAGCCCAUCUUUCACUUCAUUUAACUUAGAUGUUGCUAUUAAUCUAGUGUGCUGGCUUUUACAAUUACUCCUGUCUUAUUGGUGUAUUUUUUGAAGUCACCAGGAAUAUAUUUUUCAAUGCUUACAAAGUCGUUACUGCUUGUUUUGGCAAAAUAUACCUCAUUAAAGGAAAAAACAGGUCCAUAUUCUGGUGGUGAUUCAAUUUUAAGACGUAAAGCAAAGUUUUUUAUGAAUUAAAAAAGAAAAGUUUAUUGGAAUAAAAAAAAAAAUAUGGAAUAAAAAAAAAAGUUUUUUUUAUGAAAUAAUAAAAAAAAAGAGUUUUUUAUGAAAUAAAAAAAAAAGUUUUGUAUGAAAUAAAACAAAUUUUAUAUGAAAUGAAAAAAAAAAAAUUGUCACGAAAAAAUAAAAAUCAUGAAGAUGAAAAAAAGAAUUAAAAUAAAUAAAUAUUAAAAAAAAUUAUCAAAUAAUAAAAUCAAAUAAAACAUUUAAAUGAAUAAUAAUAAAAAAAAUAAUAAAAGUAGAAAAAAAUUAAAAAAAAAAUUAAUAAUAAAUAGAAUUGGAAAUAAUUUGAAAAAUAAUAUAAAAUUGUAUUAAAAUAAUAUGUAUUUGCUAUGACAACCAUAGUCCACCAUACUCCAGUCUAAUCCUAUACAGGUAUGUACCUAAUACUAUACAUGUAGGGGGAUCACGUGGGUAAGACGCUAGCUCGCUAGCCUGGAGGUCGGGUGUUCGAUCCCUGCAUUGGCCGAGAAAGUUCAUCCAGAUUUUCCGGCGUGGUUCUCCCUUGUCAGUGAUGCAGGACGGAGGGGCUGACAAGGAAAGCUGUCUAGUCGUUCGGAUGGGACGAAAAACCGAGGUCCCGUGUACACAUUGGCGUGCACGUAAAAGAUCCCUUGGCAGUUGGAAUUCGAUAUAAGAGUAGGCCGUAGUGCCGCUGUCCGGGCAAAAUUUCCCUCAUAGCACACUGUAUGGCGUAUACCCGUCUUCAUUAGCCCAGGCUAGGAGCAGAACAGUAGGACGUUAAACUCCAUUUCAUUUCAUUUUCAUUUCCUAUACAUGUAUCUACCUAAUCCUAUACAGGUAGGCACCUAAUUGAACAGGAAUAUUGUCCCAAAACUUCUGAAUUUAUAACAUACUCCUUUAUAGAAGUUUAACAUUGAAGGAGGUCCUACUAUAAAGAUAUGAAACAUGUCUUACUAUAUAAAUAUAUGAAAUCAAAAUACAUCAAAUAAUAUCAUAUCUACCUGACUUGUUUAUUUGUUCUUGUGCUGGAUGCAGUCUUCAACUCUAGAUGAACAACUGUUUAACGGCU